rnacentral:rRNA from 1 species
GAUGAACGCUAGCGGCAGGCCUCAUACAUGCAAGUCGAGGGGCAACAUGGCACUUCGGUGCUGAUGGCGACCGGCGCACGGGUGAGUAACGCGUAUACAAUCUGCCUUGUACUGGAGCAUAGCUUCUGGAAACGGAAAUUAAUACUCCAUAUUAUUCUUUUGGCGCAUGCCUUUAGGAUGAAAGCUCCGGCGGUACAAGAUGAGUAUGCGUCCCAUUAGCUUGUUGGUGAGGUAACGGCUCACCAAGGCCACGAUGGGUAGGGGGUCUGAGAGGAUUGUCCCCCACACUGGCACUGAGAUACGGGCCAGACUCCUACGGGAGGCAGCAGUAGGGAAUAUUGGUCAAUGGGCGCAAGCCUGAACCAGCCAUGCCGCGUGCAGGAUUGAAGGUCCUUAGGAUUGUAAACUGCUUUUUUAUGGGAGCAAAACCUUCUUGCGAGAAGGCUUGAGAGUACCAUAAGAAUAAGCACCGGCUAACUCCGUGCCAGCCGCCGCCGUAACAC